GAUCCAGACUCCUACGGGAGGCAGCAGUGAGGAAUAUUGGUCAAUGGGCGGAAGCCUGAACCAGCCAAGUCGCGUGAGGGAAGAAGGCCCUGCGGGUCGCAGACCUCUUUGGACGGGGAGCAAGGCCGCCGACGUGUCGGCGGAAGGAGAAUACCCGUAGAACAAGCAUCGGCUAACUCCGUGCCGGCAGCCGCGGUAAUACGGAGGAUGCGAGCGUUAUCCGGAUUUAUUGGGUUUAAAGGGUGCGCAGGCGGCACGGCAAGCCGGCGGUCAAAUCGCGGGGCUCAACCCCGCCCAGCCGUCGGAACUGCCGGGCUAGAGUGGGCGAGAAGUGCGCGGAAUGCGUGGUGUAGCGGUGAAAUGCAUAGAUAUCACGCAGAACUCCGAUUGCGAAGGCGGCCUGCUGGACAUUAACUGACGCUGAGGCGCGAAAGCGUGGGGAGCAAACAGGAUUAGAUACCCUGGUACCC
rnacentral:rRNA from 1 species